GAUGAACGCUGGCGGCGUGCUUAACACAUGCAAGUCGAACGAAGCAUUUGCGACAGAUUUUUUCGGAAUGAAGUUGCUUAUGACUGAGUGGCGGACGGGUGAGUAACGCGUGGGUAACCUGCCUUGUACUGGGGGAUAGCAGCUGGAAACGGCUGGUAAUACCGCAUAAGCGCACAAUGUUGCAUGACAUGGUGUGAAAAACUCCGGUGGUAUAAGAUGGACCCGCGUCUGAUUAGCUAGUUGGUGAGAUAACAGCCCACCAAGGCGACGAUCAGUAGCCGACCUGAGAGGGUGACCGGCCACAUUGGGACUGAGACACGGCCCAGACUCCUACGGGAGGCAGCAGUGGGGAAUAUUGCACAAUGGAGGAAACUCUGAUGCAGCGACGCCGCGUGAGUGAAGAAGUAAUUCGUUAUGUAAAGCUCUAUCAGCAGGGAAGAAAGUGACGGUACCUGACUAAGAAGCUCCGGCUAAAUACGUG
rnacentral:rRNA from 1 species